rnacentral:rRNA from 1 species
GCAAGGAAUUUUGCGCAAUGGGCGAAAGCCUGACGCAGCAACGCCGCGUGAGGGAUGAAGGCCUUCGGGUUGUAAACCUCUUUUCUCAGGGACGAAUAAUGACGGUACCUGGGGAAUAAGCUUCGGCUAACUACGUGCCAGCAGCCGCGGUAAUACGUAGGAAGCAAGCGUUAUCCGGAUUUACUGGGCGUAAAGUGGACGUAGGCGGCCUUUCAAGUCGGAUGUGAAAUCUCCUGGCUUAACUGGGAGGGGUCAUCCGAUACUGUUGGGCUAGAGGACAGCAGGGGAAGGUGGAAUUCCCGGUGUAGUGGUGAAAUGCGUAGAUAUCGGGAGGAACACCAGUGGCGAAGGCGGCCUUCCAGGCUGUUUCUGACGCUGAGGUCCGAAAGUGUGGGGAGCGAACAGGAUUAGAAACCCUAGUAGUCC